rnacentral:rRNA from 1 species
UCUAAGUACCCCGAGGAAAAGAAAUCAACCGAGAUUCCCCCAGUAGCGGCGAGCGAACGGGGAGGAGCCCAGAGCCUGAAUCAGCAUGUGUGUUAGUGGAAGCGUCUGGAAAGGCGCGCGAUACAGGGUGACAGCCCCGUACACAAAAGCGCAUGUGCUGUGAGCUCGAUGAGUAGGGCGGGACACGUGGUAUCCUGUCUGAAUAUGGGGGGACCAUCCUCCAAGGCUAAAUACUCCUGACUGACCGAUAGUGAACCAGUACCGUGAGGGAAAGGCGAAAAGAACCCCGGCGAGGGGAGUGAAAAAGAACCUGAAACCGUGUACGUACAAGCAGUGGGAGCACAGGUUUACCUGUGUGACUGCGUACCUUUUGUAUAAUGGGUCAGCGACUUAUAUUCUGUAGCAAGGUUAACCGAAUAGGGGAGCCGGAGGGAAACCGAGUCUUAAUUGGGCGUUAAGUUGCAGGGUAUAGACCCGAAACCCGGUGAUCUAGCCAUGGGCAGGUUGAAGGUUGGGUAACACUAACUGGAGGACCGAACCGACUAAUGUUGAAAAAUUAGCGGAUGACCUGUGGCUGGGGGUGAAAGGCCAAUCAAACCGGGAGAUAGCUGGUUCUCCCCGAAAGCUAUUUAGGUAGCGCCUCGUGAAUUCAUCUCCGGGGGUAGAGCACUGUUUCGGCUAGGGGGCCAUCCCGGCUUACCAACCCGAUGCAAACUGCGAAUACCGGAGAAUGUUAUCACGGGAGACACACGGCGGGUGCUAACGUCCGUCGUGAAGAGGGAAACAACCCAGACCGCCAGCUAAGGUCCCAAAGUCAUGGUUAAGUGGGAAACGAUGUGGGAAGGCCCAGACAGCCAGGAUGUUGGCUUAGAAGCAGCCAUCAUUUAAAGAAAGCGUAAUAGCUCACUGGUCGAGUCGGCCUGCGCGGAAGAUGUAACGGGGCUAAACCAUGCACCGAAGCUGCGGCAGCGACGCUUAUGCGU